UACGUAGGGGGCAAGCGUUAUCCGGAUUUACUGGGUGUAAAGGGAGCGUAGACGGCGAUGCAAGUCUGAUGUGAAAGGCCGGGGCUCAACCCCGGGACUGCAUUGGAAACUGGCAUGCUGGAGUGCCGGAGGGGCAAGCGGAAUUCCUAGUGUAGCGGUGAAAUGCGUAGAUAUUAGGAGGAACACCGGUGGCGAAGGCGGCUUGCUGGGCUUUUACUGACGCUGAGGCUCGAAAGUGUGGGGAGCAAACAGG
rnacentral:rRNA from 1 species